CAGUAACUGCGAGUGAAGAGGGAAGAGCUCAUCAUUGGAAUCUGGCAGUGUUGCACUGUCCGAGUUGUAGAUGAGGAGUAGUCCAUCUGGGCUGCAUGGCGUCCAAGUACAAUAGGCCGUCAGUGGGACAUCAUAGAGGGUGACAAUCCCGUCCUUGAUGCCAAUGUGCAAGUCCGCUACGAUGGCUAUCUCAGAGAGUCGAGCAGUUUGGGAUUUGCUGCUUAAACAUGGGAGGUAGAUUCCUUCUAAAGCUAAAUACAGGCGAGAGACCGAUAGAGAACAAGUACCGCAAGGGAAAGAUGAAAUAGAACUCUGUGAAGGGAGUCAAAAGGCGUGAAAUUGUUGCGAGAGAAGCGAUUCAAGUCAGCGUAGCUAGGCCCAUCAAGCCUCUUGCUUUGGACUAGCUUUGCCAGCGGUCUUGUCCCUAANNNNNNNNNNAGAGAGACUUGACUUUGUAUGUCCAGCCUGGUAUGCACAGGUAGCCCCCUCUGGGGGCCAGUGACAUGGCUGGUGGAAUGGCUUGCAAUCGACCCGUCUUGAAACACGGACCAAGGAGUCUAACAUGUAUGCGAGUAUAAGGGUGGCAAACCCGUAUGCGCAAUGAAAGUGACUUUCGGUGAUUGAGAAUGGCCUGAUGACCAGACAAGCGAUAUCAUGUCCCUCGUACGGCCAUUGCCCAAGUUCCGUGGUAGAUCCCAUGAACAUGGAGUUGGAGCAUACAUGCUAGGACCCGAAAGAUGGUGAACUAUGCCUGGACAAAGCGAAGCCAAAGGAAACUCUGGUGGAGGCUUGUAGCGAUUCUGACGUGCAAAUCGAUCGUCUGAUCUGGGUAU
rnacentral:rRNA from 1 species